rfam:Oryza meridionalis cultivar OR44 (W2112) chromosome 1, whole genome shotgun sequence.
AAUAAGUACAGUUUUGCACUAUUCAUCUUCUAACACUUAACCGUUCAUCUUAUUUGAAAAAUUUCUAUGAUUACUAUUUUUAUUGUUAUAGAUGAUAAAACAUGAAUAGUACUUUAUGUAUGACUAUUUUUUAAAAAAAAAUCAUAAAUUUUUUCAAAAAAGACGGACGGUCAAACGUUGGACACGGAGUUUCACGGCUGCACUUAUU